rnacentral:rRNA from 1 species
GACGAACGCUGGCGGCGUGCUUAACACAUGCAAGUCGAACGCUGAAGCUCAGCUUUUGUUGGGUGGAUGAGUGGCGAACGGGUGAGUAACACGUGAGUAACCUGCCCCCUUCUUUGGGAUAACGCCCGGAAACGGGUGCUAAUACUGGAUAUUCACUGGUCUUCGCAUGGGGGUUGGUGGAAAGGGUUUUUCUGGUGGGGGAUGGGCUCGCGGCCUAUCAGCUUGUUGGUGGGGUGAUGGCCUACCAAGGCUUUGACGGGUAGCCGGCCUGAGAGGGUGACCGGUCACAUUGGGACUGAGAUACGGCCCAGACUCCUACGGGAGGCAGCAGUGGGGGAUAUUGCACAAUGGGCGCAAGCCUGAUGCAGCGACGCCGCGUGAGGGAUGGAGGCCUUCGGGUUGUGAACCUCUUUCGCUCAUGGUCAAGCCGCAACAAUGGUUGUGGUGAGGGUAGUGGGUAAAGAAGCGCCGGCUAACUACGUG